GUCUACGGCCAUACCACCCUGAACGCGCCCGAUCUCGUCUGAUCUCGGAAGCUAAGCAGGGUCGGGCCUGGUUAGUACUUGGAUGGGAGAAAGGCUUCUCUCCUUCUUUAAGUAUGACACUUGCUACUGUCA
rnacentral:rRNA from 1 species